rnacentral:rRNA from 1 species
GAUAAACGCUGGCGGCGUGCUUAACACAUGCAAGUCGAACGAAGGUUUUCCUUGGUGGGUAACUUAGUGUCGGACGGGGGAGUAACGCUUGGGUAACCUGCCCUUUACAGUGGGACAACAGCAGGAAACGGCAGCUAAUACUGCAUAAGGACAUAGCACUGCAUGGUGCAUAGGAAAAAGGAGCAAUACGGUACAGGAUGGACCCGCGUCUCAUUAGCCAGUUGUCAGGGUAACGGCAUCUCAAAGCGACGAUCAGUACCCGAUCUGAGAGGAUGUGCGGCGACAUUGAGGCUAGGCAACGGCCCAGACUCUUACGGGAGGCAGGAAUGGGUAAUAUUGCAAAAUGGAGGAAACUAUGAUGCAGUGACGACGCGUGAGUGAAGAAGUAUUUCAGUAUGUAAAGCUCUAUCAGCAGGGAAGAAAAUGACGGUACCUGACUAAGAAGCACCGGCUAAAUACGUG